rnacentral:rRNA from 1 species
CGGGGGCCCGCACAAGCGGUGGAGCAUGUGGUUUAAUUCGAUGCAACGCGAAGAACCUUACCUGGUCUUGACAUCCACAGAACCUUGUAGAGAUACGAGGGUGCCUUCGGGAACUGUAAGACAGGUGCUGCAUGGCUGUCGUCAGCUCGUGUUGUGAAAUGUUGGGUUAAGUCCCGCAACGAGCGCAACCCUUAUCCUUUGUUGCCAGCGGUCCGGCCGGGAACUCAAAGGAGACUGCCAGUGAUAAACUGGAGGAAGGUGGGGAUGACGUCAAGUCAUCAUGGCCCUUACGACCAGGGCUACACACGUGCUACAAUGGCGCAUACAAAGAGAAGCGACCUCGCGAGAGCAAGCGGACCUCAUAAAGUGCGUCGUAGUCCGGAUUGGAGUCUGCAACUCGACUCCAUGAAGUCGGAAUCGCUAGUAAUCGUGGAUCAGAAUGCCACGGUGAAUACGUUCCCGGGCCUUGUAC